rnacentral:rRNA from 1 species
CCUACGGGCGGCAGCAGUGAGGAAUAUUGGUCAAUGGACGCAAGUCUGAACCAGCCAUGCCGCGUGCAGGAAGACGGCUCUAUGAGUUGUAAACUUCUUUUGUACGAGGGUAAACGCAGACACGCGUAUCUUUCUGAAAGUAUCGUAUGAAUAAGGAUCGGCUAACUCCGUGCCAGCAGCCGCGGUAAUACGGAGGAUUCAAGUGUUAUCCGGAUUUAUUGGGUUUAAAGGGUGCGUAGGCGGUCGGUUAAGUUAGAUGUGAAAGCCCGAGGCUCAACUUCGGAAUUGCCUCUGAUACUGGUCGGCUAGAGAAUAGUUGCGGUAGGCGGAAUGUGUGGUGUAGCGGUGAAAUGCUUAGAGAUCAUACAGAACACCGAUUGCGAAGGCAGCUUACCAAGCUACUUCUGACAUUGAGGCACGAAAGCGUGGGGAGCAAACAGGAUUAGAUACCCCUGUAGUC